rnacentral:rRNA from 1 species
AUGUGCAGCCACUCCGGCGGGCGGCGGCGUUGCACGGCGACUCCAGCGGGUCCGGAGGCGCGGAGUCCCCAGCCACCAGGAAGCAACCGCAGGAGGCUCGGCUACUCCGGCACUACAGGCGCCGCUAUUGCCCCAGCAGCACGGGCCCGGCGGCGAAUCUGGCAAGCACGUGUGCCGCACCUCCGGCGACUAGUGUUCCUGUCCGACCAAACGGAUGAUGAGGCUCCCUCUGACUGGAAGUCCAGAAUGUGGACGAGAAGAAUUGAGCCUGAAGCAGUCGGCUCCAAAAGAACUCCCUCUGACUGGAUGUCCAGAAUGUGGAAGAGAAUGGUGAAGCAGUCAGCGACAUCUCUGAAUCCGGGCAAAUAUUCAGUGGAAUGCCCAAGGAAUGGCAAGGAUAUGAAGGUGAAAGACUGGCGUUUCUUCAUGUGGCUGGACAAGUACUUGGACAUGGUCGAGGAAAUUUGGAUGAUAAAUGUGCUCAUCAUGGGCAAUGCAUCUGCUCGCUGCGUGUCACGAGAAAUUCAGCGACGUAUUGAUGCUACGAGGGCUGAAAAUGAUGCUACAAGAGCCUAA